GACGAACGCUGGCGGCGUGCUUAACACAUGCAAGUCGAGCGGUAAGGCCCUUUCGGGGGUACACGAGCGGCGAACGGGUGGGUAACACGUGGGUGACCUGCCCUCAGCUCUGGGAUAAGCCUGGGAAACCGGGUCUAAUACUGGAUAUGACUCCAUGACGCAUGUUGUGGGGUGGAAAGCCUUGUGCGGCUGAGGAUGGGCCCGCGGCCUAUCAGCUUGUUGGUGGGGUGAUGGCCUACCAAGGCGACGACGGGUAGCCGGCCUGAGAGGGCGACCGGCCACACUGGGACUGAGACACGGCCCAGACUCCUACGGGAGGCAGCAGUGGGGAAUCUUGCGCAAUGGGCGAAAGCCUGACGCAGCGACGCCGCGUGAGGGAUGACGGCCU
rnacentral:rRNA from 1 species